rnacentral:rRNA from 1 species
UACGAAGGGGCUAGCGUUGCUCGGAAUCACUGGGCGUAAAGGGUGCGUAGGCGGGUCUUUAAGUCAGGGGUGAAAUCCUGGAGCUCAACUCCAGAACUGCCUUUGAUACUGAAGAUCUUGAGUUCGGGAGAGGUGAGUGGAACUGCGAGUGUAGAGGUGAAAUUCGUAGAUAUUCGCAAGAACACCAGUGGCGAAGGCGGCUCACUGGCCCGGUACUGACGCUGAGAGUGCGAAAGCGUGGGGAGCAAACAGG